rnacentral:rRNA from 1 species
GAUGAACGCUGGCGGCGUGCCUAAUACAUGCAAGUCGAGCGAACAGAUGAGGAGCUUGCUCCUCUGACGUUAGCGGCGGACGGGUGAGUAACACGUGGAUAACCUACCUAUAAGACUGGGAUAACUUCGGGAAACCGGAGCUAAUACCGGAUAACAUAUUGAACCGCAUGGUUCAAUAGUGAAAGACGGUUUUGCUGUCACUUAUAGAUGGAUCCGCGCCGCAUUAGCUAGUUGGUAAGGUAACGGCUUACCAAGGCAACGAUGCGUAGCCGACCUGAGAGGGUGAUCGGCCACACUGGAACUGAGACACGGUCCAGACUCCUACGGGAGGCAGCAGUAGGGAAUCUUCCGCAAUGGGCGAAAGCCUGACGGAGCAACGCCGCGUGAGUGAUGAAGGUCUUCGGAUCGUAAAACUCUGUUAUUAGGGAAGAACAAAUGUGUAAGUAACUAUGCACGUCUUGACGGUACCUAAUCAGAAAGCCACGGCUAACUACGUG